AUGUUUAGGGCCAUUUUAUAUGCGUCAUCGAAAAAUAUGAGUAAAAUCAGUGAAUAUUUUGCAUUGCCUUGGUGUUUGGUGUGUCUAUUGCAUAAUCCUUUUCUUUUUUGCUUCUCUUUCCAAGCAAGGACCAGGAUGGGAACAUAUGUUUAUAAUGAAGUUCUUUCAUUGCAGAUCUAUGCUGUCGCGGCAACACAGGCCAAUACACAUUCAGGAAAUAUGUCACCAACUUCCCCAAGGUCCCGCAUCGUCUACUCAGGAUAUUCUGUGCCCCAAGCCCUACUGAAUAAUGCCCAGUCUAAUUUCAGCAGUGGGCAUGCCAGCCUCAAACUUCUCUCUUGA
rnacentral:rRNA from 1 species